rnacentral:misc_RNA from 1 species
GAACUCACUAAUAUGACAUAGUAUAUCCUUCCCUGCAAACAAAUUCCUUGCUGAUAACGUGCUUUUUAGCCUUGGUGCCUCAUCAUCAACUGAUUUCUUCUUUUCACUGCUUGAUUUGGUCAUUGCUUUGAUGAACUUAGCUUGGUAAUUUGGUGGUGUUGAUAAAUUUGGGUUAUGGUUUUCAAUAUCUUCACUGAAUUUAGAUCUAUCACUACAUGUAAAUGAACACUGACUUUGCUCUCUCAUCUUCAAUUUUGCAUCUCUUAGAUUCCCGCAGCCAAAAGAGCUCUUAGAUUUAUCAGCUGAGCGUGAAAGCUUUGAAGUUGGAGUUAUUCUAAAGAAAUCCUCAACUGUCUUUGGAUGGUUACAAUCAGGUCUACAGAACCAAGCCUCAUCAUCCAUGGAGUCAUCAUCUUCAGGGUUCAAGAAAUCAACCCAUUUAGGUGCAUUUAUAUUCUCAUACAACUUAUCCUCAACAGAUAUAGACUCUACCCUCUUCCAAUCUAUUUUUGCUGGUUCCAUUGUGAAGAGAAGAACUUUACGAGAAAGAACAGAAUACCCAGAAAUCUAAAGGGGAUUGCAGGAUUUAGUAAGAUGUUUUAGAGAGAGAAACAAGACCCUGAAACUGAGGGCAAGAUUUGCUACAGACUGUUCAAGUGUCAAAAUGUAACGGUUAGUAGACUAGUGGAAAGUAUCUGCAGAGAGGAGAAAGACUGACUGAACGUUGGUGGGUCUAAUUAAUUUUUGUGACCGUUGGGGAAUUUUCGUAAAUUACUAAUAAUUAGUAUUAGUUUUGUAGUUAGGUUUUUUUGAGCUUUUGGGUUGGUCGAGGUGGAAGAAGAGCUUUUCUUGGAUCUGGGCUGCAAGAGAUGGUUCAAUGCUGUAGGACAUAGCUGAGAAUAACUCAAUGGUUGAAAUCCAGCACGAAAUUUCACAAUAAUUUUUUUUUUUUUUUUAGAUUAAGAGAAAUGAUGGCUCUAAGAUUCAAAUCCGACCUUGCAAAUGGAUCCAAUUACCACUGAUUCAAUUGCUUGUUGGUUGUAUAUGCAACUGUCCUUAAUGCAUAUUGAAUUUAACCUUUUGUUUUUCACUAAAUCCUUUCAACUAAAAAUUUUGGAAUUGGCUUAGAAUCGUCUAGUAGGUGUGAAGAACAAAGAAAGAUUAGAGAAAUUAUGGCGUGGAAUGGCUCAAUGCAACACAGCCAAAAAGCUACAAGGUGGUCCAUAGCUUAGAGCUUCAAGAUAGGAUAAGGAUAUUUGAUAGGGAAAUAGUUUCAAGAAUUUCAACCAAAGCUGCUACAGUAAAUUCUUGCUCAUCGUUAAAGAACGUUUGAUAAACAUAACCUUAAUCCACUUUUCAAAAGUCAAUAAUCAAUGGUUUAAAAUUAUAAUUAUACCAAUGAAAGUUAGAACAUUCAACUAUCAGUUUUUACCCUUGU